rnacentral:rRNA from 1 species
AGUGAACGCUGGCGGUAGGCCUAACACAUGCAAGUCGAACGGCAGCACAGUAAGAGCUUGCUCUUACGGGUGGCGAGUGGCGGACGGGUGAGGAAUACAUCGGAAUCUACUUUUUCGUGGGGGAUAACGUAGGGAAACUUACGCUAAUACAGCAUACGACCUACGGGUGAAAGCAGGGGAUCUUCGGACCUUGCGCGAUUGAAUGAGCCGAUGUCGGAUUAGCUAGUUGGCGGGGUAAAGGCCCACCAAGGCGACGAUCCGUAGCUGGUCUGAGAGGAUGAUCAGCCACACUGGAACUGAGACACGGUCCAGACUCCUACGAGAGGCAGCAGUGGGGAAUAUUGGACAAUGGGCGCAAGCCUGAUCCAGCCAUACCGCGUGGGUGAAGAAGGCCUUCGGGUUGUAAAGCCCUUUUGUUGGGAAAGAAAAGCAGCAGGUUAAUACCCCGCUGUUCUGACGGUACCCAAAGAAUAAGCACCGGCUAACUUCGUG